rnacentral:rRNA from 1 species
UACGGAGGAGGCAAGCGUUAUCCGGAAUUAUUGGGCGUAAAGCGUCCGCAGGUGGCGAUUCAAGUCUGCGGUUAAAGACUGGGGCUUAACCCUGGAAAGGCCGUGGAAACAGAAACGCUAGAGUGCAGUAGGGGUAGAGGGAAUUCCCGGUGUAGCGGUGAAAUGCGUAGAGCUCGGGAAGAACAUCGGUGGCGAAAGCGCUCUGCUGGACUGCAACUGACACUCAGGGACGAAAGCUAGGGGAGCGAAUGGG